rnacentral:lncRNA from 1 species
GUUGUAUUAGAUUGAUUAUUAUCAACAACUAAAACAAACCCUACCCUCCUCUCAAGAACACGCACGGCAACAGGAGACCCCCCCCCCCCUGUUCGCAGCUUAUUGGUUUGUACGCCCUCAUCACUUCUUGGUUAGGUUUAUGGUUAGAAUUGGAAGGUGUGGGUGUCCAAUGAUAAACAAGUAAAUUAAUCUUACCGAGCAAAACUAAGGUCGUUAGAUAUCUUGGAUUUGGGAACUUGCUGCCUGGAGUAGCUGGAGUGGUCAUGGGUCGACUGGAGGGAUUCAUGUGACUGAAUUAUUGAUAUUAUACAUUGGUUUUGAAACAGUUUAACUUUGGUUUACUAUUUGCUUCCUCUGAACAUGUUGGUUUUUAUUGAAACUCGU